rnacentral:rRNA from 1 species
UGAGGAAUCUUGCGCAAUGGGGGAAACCCUGACGCAGCAACGCCGCGUGAGUGAGGAAGGUCUUCGGAUCGUAAAGCUCUGUCGGGUGGAAAGAAAUGUAUGGGGUUAAUAGCCUUCAUACUUGACGGUACCACCAAAGGAAGCACCGGCUAACUCCGUGCCAGCAGCCGCGGUAAUACGGGGGGUGCAAGCGUUGUUCGGAAUUAUUGGGCGUAAAGAGCGUGUAGGCGGCUUGGCAAGUCAGAUGUGAAAGCCCUGGGCUUAACCCAGGAAGUGCAUUUGAAACUGCCUAGCUUGAGUAGGGGAGAGGGAAGUGGAAUUCCUGGUGUAGAGGUGAAAUUCGUAGAUAUCAGGAGGAGCACCGGUGGCGAAGGCGACUUCCUGGCCCUAUACUGACGCUGAGACGCGAGAGCGUGGGUAGCAAACAG